rnacentral:lncRNA from 1 species
GGCAGUUUCCGAGUGUUUCUCAAAAGUCAACACAGGGGUGUGGACAAUCACCACGGGCUCCACCAAGCCCCUGCCAGAAAAUGGGAAACUGGGAAAGAAGCCCAAUGGGACAGACACCUGCUGACUAGUUACCCUCGCUCUGAUGAGAACCCCCCUCCAGAAGUCUCUAUGGGGCUUUGAGUGACCAGGAACUGAUCAAUCAAUCGAUCUCUGUACCGUAUGGAAACUUCCAGUAUUCCACAAAAAGUCUUCAAGACUCAAGACAGUGGGGACAAGUCUGCCUCUUUUGCAUUGGGGGCUCCCCGCCCCCCAGCUCGGGACCAUCGUCCUGGGGCAGAGGCGUCGCUCUGUGGUGGUCACCCACGGUGGACGGAGAAGGGGAGCACGAUGUGUGCCUGUGAGCACGGCUGGUUGUGCUGUACCUGGAUAUUUCUCGCAUCGACUGUCCCUUGCGUAGCGACAGGUGAACAGGGGCGUGCGGGGCACAAGCGACCGGUCUUAGUGGACCAGGUCCUCGGACGCGGGCUUCACCCCCCACACUCCACGUCGGCGGCUCAGAGAUGCACAGCAUCGUCCUUCUCAGCAUUUUGGAAACCAGGCACGUCUUACUGGUGGAUUCGUACACUUAAUGGGGUUCUCUUCUGUUUGUACUCUGGAAAGCCGAUAAAAUGUUUCAGAAUCACCGCCCUCUGAGAAUGGACAAAAUCGCGUUCCUACUGCUGAGCAUGUCGCAUCCCGCAUUAGGAGAGAAAACGAAUGCCAACGGAUACAAAGUCUACUUACCCACAGGGAGAGGCUGAGUCCCACUCCAGGGAUUCGGGCUGCAUCGACCUUAGGGGAGGAGGCAGACUGCUCUCUCUCCCUGAACUCGGCUCAGGAAGCGCUGGGGAACGUGGAAGAAGGUUCUGGAAGAUCAGGAUCCUGAAGAUCCAGCUCUUUUCGUGCCUCUGUGUCUUCAACAGGCCGCUUACAGUUCAUUUCCAUUCUAUGCCAGCCUCUUCCUUUCUAAAUGAUAGAACUCGUUCAAGUGGCCACUUUCCUCUGGUUGGAGAGGCACGUCACCUGCUUCGUGGUUAAUGACGCAACGGCUAACUUGAUGUACAGCCCUUGUUUUCUUUUCUUUUUACAGUUGCCUUACAGAUCGCUUUAGAACCAGUCACGCGACGGAGGGCUGCUGGAUCGAGUUGAAAGUUCUUUAUUCAUGUUGCCAAGCUAGCUUUGAAAAAUGAUAUGCUGAUUAUAAAUACUAGCAGGGUGUGAUUACACCAGCCUCACAAUCAAUUCA